AUAUGAACCGUUAUAACCGGCGAUUUCCGAAUGGGGAAACCCAGUGUGACUCGUCACACUAUCAUUAACUGAAUCCAUAGGUUAAUGAGGCGAACCGGGGGAACUGAAACAUCUAAGUACCCCGAGGAAAAGAAAUCAACCGAGAUUCCCCCAGUAGCGGCGAGCGAACGGGGAGGAGCCCAGAGCCUGAAUCAGCAUGUGUGUUAGUGGAAGCGUCUGGAAAGGCGCGCGAUACAGGGUGACAGCCCCGUACACAAAAGCGCAUGUGCUGUGAGCUCGAUGAGUAGGGCGGGACACGUGGUAUCCUGUCUGAAUAUGGGGGGACCAUCCUCCAAGGCUAAAUACUCCUGACUGACCGAUAGUGAACCAGUACCGUGAGGGAAAGGCGAAAAGAACCCCGGCGAGGGGAGUGAAAAAGAACCUGAAACCGUGUACGUACAAGCAGUGGGAGCCCCACCACUAAGCCAGUGGUGAACUCCACAUACGCAUCCUUUGCUGAGGAUACGGUUAACGGAGCGAAAGCGACGUUCAACCGCAAAAGAAGCAGAGGGGGCUUAGUGGUGGGGUGACUGCGUACCUUUUGUAUAAUGGGUCAGCGACUUAUAUUCUGUAGCAAGGUUAACCGAAUAGGGGAGCCGGAGGGAAACCGAGUCUUAAUUGGGCGUUAAGUUGCAGGGUAUAGACCCGAAACCCGGUGAUCUAGCCAUGGGCAGGUUGAAGGUUGGGUAACACUAACUGGAGGACCGAACCGACUAAUGUUGAAAAAUUAGCGGAUGACCUGUGGCUGGGGGUGAAAGGCCAAUCAAACCGGGAGAUAGCUGGUUCUCCCCGAAAGCUAUUUAGGUAGCGCCUCGUGAAUUCAUCUCCGGGGGUAGAGCACUGUUUCGGCUAGGGGGCCAUCCCGGCUUACCAACCCGAUGCAAACUGCGAAUACCGGAGAAUGUUAUCACGGGAGACACACGGCGGGUGCUAACGUCCGUCGUGAAGAGGGAAACAACCCAGACCGCCAGCUAAGGUCCCAAAGUCAUGGUUAAGUGGGAAACGAUGUGGGAAGGCCCAGACAGCCAGGAUGUUGGCUUAGAAGCAGCCAUCAUUUAAAGAAAGCGUAAUAGCUCACUGGUCGAGUCGGCCUGCGCGGAAGAUGUAACGGGGCUAAACCAUGCACCGAAGCUGCGGCAGCGAACGUAUCACCCAAGACAACUUUACGGAGUUGACGAUUGACGGAGCGAAGCGACGUCAAAGCGUUCAUUAAAGUCGAGUUGGCUUAGGGAUACGUUCGUUGGGUAGGGGAGCGUUCUGUAAGCCUGUGAAGGUGUGUCGUGAGGCAUGCUGGAGGUAUCAGAAGUGCGAAUGCUGACAUAAGUAACGAUAAAGCGGGUGAAAAGCCCGCUCGCCGGAAGACCAAGGGUUCCUGUCCAACGUUAAUCGGGGCAGGGUGAGUCGACCCCUAAGGCGAGGCCGAAAGGCGUAGUCGAUGGGAAACGGGUUAAUAUUCCCGUACUUGGUGUUACUGCGAAGGGGGGACGGAGAAGGCUAUGUUGGCCGGGCGACGGUUGUCCCGGUUUAAGCGUGUAGGUGUGUGUUCCAGGUAAAUCCGGUUCACUUUAACACUGAGGCGUGA
rnacentral:rRNA from 1 species